AAGUCGUAACAAGGUUUCCGUAGGUGAACCUGCGGAAGGAUCAUUAAUGAAAUAGUAAAGGUCAAAGUUGAUGCUGGCGGUCACCCGCAUGUGCUCACUUUUUCCGACUUUUCUUAUCCAUACACCUGUGCACACUCUUGGAAGAGUUGGGAUUGGAAUAGCUAGCCUUUUCCGUUGUAGUCCCGCUCUUUCAUGCUUUAACACAAACUCUUAUUAUAAACAUUGAACAAUCAAUUGUGCCGAAAGGCCUUUUAAUCAAAUACAA
rnacentral:misc_RNA from 1 species